AAUUGGAUAUGAUGAUGAGUUUGACCACAGAGGUAUGUCCUCAAAGAUGAUGGGUGGAGACUGGAGAGAGAUGUGCCCUGGUGGUUAAAGAAAAUCCAGAUCUCCUUGGCAUAAUUACAAUCAAAGAACAAAUGAUAUAUGGCUUCCUCACUAAUUCAACAAAAGUAUACAGUCCAGCUUGGUUUUGCUUGAUAAAUUUGAUGAGAGUAAACUUUAUUUAGAAAGAAUUAUAAUAGACUCUCAUAAAAAAACUUGUACAAGAUACAUUUUUCUAUAUAGAAAUGAGAUUAAUCUAAUUUUCUAAUGUAAGGUAAAGAUAAAAGUAAAUAAUAUAUUUAGAAAUAAUUGUAAAUAUUCAUAAACUAAGAUAUGACAAUCUUCUAGAUCCUUCUAGAUCUUCAUGAUUUUCAUAGUCUUGGACAAUCAUCUCGACCGUCCAUCUCCAGUUCUCCCAAUAGGUAU